rnacentral:rRNA from 1 species
UACGUAGGGUGCAAGCGUUAAUCGGAAUUACUGGGCGUAAAGCGUGCGCAGGCGGUGAUGUAAGUCAGUUGUGAAAUCCCCGGGCUUAACCUGGGAAUGGCAUUUGGGACUGCAAGGCUUGAGUGCGGCAGAGGAGACUGGAAUUCCUGGUGUAGCAGUGAAAUGCGUAGAUAUCAGGAGGAACACCGAUGGCGAAGGCAGGUCUCUGGGCUGACACUGACGCUCAUGCACGAAAGCGUGGGGAGCAAACAGG